AACUGUGGUAGCUCAGUUGGUAGAGCAUCAGACUUGUAAUCAAAUGGCUUGGUGUUCAAUACCAACCCAGACA